rnacentral:lncRNA from 1 species
UCAGUCGAAGAUUCUCACAGUCUUCUUCAGCAGAGAAUCUUUGAAGCACAGCAGCUCUAAAACACGAAAUAAUGUUCGCUAAACUGUUUGCUCUCCUCCUGUUGGUGGUGGUGGCGUUUGCUCGUCCGGACGAGGAUGACUUCUAUGGCUUCUACAACCCAGUCCAGCCGGUGAGCUCGCCGGUGUUCGCGCCAGCUGUGCAGACCUACUCCACCAUCCAAUAUCCCGCCGUCCGAUCCAGCUUCCGAUAUUACUUCGACGACGACGAUGACUAGACUAAUUAAUUAAGAAUGACAUCUCUGUUGCUAUUCAUUUAUUAAAUGAACUCAAGGCACAGAAUUAUACAUAUUAUUCUGAAGCCAAGACACAUAAUUUUACAUAUUAUUCUGAAGCCAAGACACAGAAUUUUACAUGUUAUUCUGAAGGCAAGACACAAAAUUUUACAUAUUAUUCUGAAGCCAAGACACAGAAUUUUACAUGUUAUUCUUAAGUCAUGGCACAAGUCAGAAUGCCUUUUGCAUUGAAGUCCAUUGAACUAAUUUCGCAACAACAAAGCAAAUGCAGGAACACUAUCUUCAUCACAAUCACGAGAAUAAUAAAAUGCCACAGUUUAUCAUUUCAAACCUUAUACAGUAAAUGAUUUGAUGUU